GCGGGUGUGGUGGAAUUGGUAGACGCGUCGGAUUCAAAAUCCGAUGUCCAUUAGGACGUGCCGGUUCGAGUCCGGCCACCCGUACCA
rnacentral:tRNA from 1 species